UUUGGGUAGCAUUACCCAUACGACAAUACCCGAGUCCGUAAUUAAAUUCGCAUGGACUUGCAAAUGAUUUGAAUUCUCCGACUCUGAUUUGAUGUAAUUAUCGGUAAUGGCUGUUUUAGGUCACUUUUAUUUCCUCUUUGAUCGUGAUAUUCAGUCCUUCUCGCUUAAUAUACAGGCACGGCUGUGUUAAUUUGCUAUCUUCCCCGUUCCUCCCUUACAUUUGCGUUAAAUCUUGUUAAUGAAGCCGGGGCUUGCCUUGAAGAAUUUAAGAAAUCAGUGGAGUUGAGAAUGACUCUUCGUCAGAGUAACCGAAAUCCUGAAAUUCCUGGUGAGUAGUUGCAGAAUGGGGCUUUCUUUGAUACUGACAAGCUUGUUGUCCAUUAAUAUAAGCAGUUCUGUAUAUAAUUUCUUCUUUAGAAACUUCAAUUGAAAUUUAACAUAUGAAAUAUCUUGGUAUGAUUUCUGAAAAUUAUAAAAAAACUUAUGUUGAGUAUGGUUCGAGUGAAUGAUAGGGGAGGAAAUGGAAUGAAAGCUAUAUUAUGUUAUGAGAAAUUGUAAAUUUUUUCCUCUUUUCUUUCACCUUGGAAUUUCAUUACUAAUUUUUCAAUCCAUUUUUUCCUCUGGUUUUGUAUCAAAGUGCCCACCGUUCUCGUCAAAAACUAUCUAGUGACUCCCGGAUUUCCACGGGGACUCAUUUUAGCCACUACAAUCAUUGCAUAUAUCACUAUGUUAAAUCUUGAAAAAUAAUUAACAGAAAAAUUAAUGGGAUUUUAAUCUGCAGAUGAUGUGUGAGCCACAUGGAUUACAAAAAGAACUAGAACCGAAGAUUACAAAGAAAUAUAAAAAGAUUGUAGCAAAUACAUCUUUCUUUCUUAUUUUUUUGCUGAAGCCUCUCUGGUGUUGGAUCCAAAAGACCAGUCAAGAUAUGAUAUAUACUAAUAUAUCUCUUAUGUGGUAUAGGAUAAAUGUUCAAGCCUACUUAAUGAUAGAUCAGCCAAAUUUCCAUUAAUAUUGUUUUUUCCGAUGUUUUCCUUGGGAUACUAGAUUCCAGCAUUAAGCACCGUAGUUAUUAAGAAACUGAAGCAGAUUAAUGAAGACAGUGUGAACGUUUAAUGGGUGAAUUGCACUUGAGCAAAUUUGUUAGUGAAGCAGUGACCCCUAUAUGUGAAGCCAAGCUUAGAACAUCAGACAUCCAACCAGUGGUCCAGGUACCUAUUUCUUUGAGAAAUAUUUAGCAGACAUACUACAUAGUAUCUAGUUUUAUGUUACUUCUUCCGAGUUUUCAGUUGUUAAUACAUGGAAAGAAUCUGUACUUCUAUUCUGGAGGUUGUGACAAGGUACGAGUUGUACCGUACAACUAUGUUGCACACUAACUGACCUUCAGUAGUGCAAUUUAUGAUAAACCAAUGGUGAAUAGAAAUAAGAUCUGGCGUUAAGCUUUGGUACUUUCACUUAAUAGCUAGCUCGGAUAUAUCUUAUACGUUUCAUCCAUUCUGAACUUGCACUAAGAUAUGCUUUGUGAGAAUGUUGUUGAAUUUUGGCACUUUUUAAGAAGUUCUUAUGUAGAAGUAAUAUUUAGUUUUUCCUUACAGAUCCCAUCAAUAUUAUCAGAAAUUCUGAGUUGUUUAAAGGUCAAAAGUUUGAUAAUCAUGGUCUAGCCAAUUGUUUAAACGAAGGAUUUAAGGAACAUAAAGUUCCAAGUUUGAGAUUUUAGGGGUAAGGUUCAUUAAGGUAUUAGGAUUGCAGAGUGUUUGAUAGUGGGAUUAAUACAUGUAUCUUCGUGAAGUAAGUGCUGGAAAUUUCAGUUAUGGAUUCCGUAAAAUUUACGAAGGACUAAUUCUAUGCUACGUGUUACAAUUAAGGAGAGAGGCGAAAAAGACCAUUUCUAGCCAUUUAAAUAUGACGAAAGGAGGAGUAUCUUUCAUGAAUAAUUCUUCUAUGCCCUCCUUUUUUCCGGCUCUUCUGAUACCCCCAACCCCCCCUCUCCCACAAACACACACACAAAAGAAAAAAAUCCAGUCCAGAUCUGUUCUUUUGCUUCAUCAGAGACUGACUUCUCUGCUAGUUUGGCUCAAGGUCUCGUAAAUCUUCUAUUGUGGAAAAACCCCGGAGCACCGAGUUGCUGGUACUAAUAAUUUAAGGGCCAUGAAGAAGCGCAGCUCGCUUAAACUCCUUUCGAAACUAUAUUUUUUUGGUGUCAUUGACAGUGGUGUUUUCAUUAAUAUCAUUAAGGAUCUCACGAGCAUGGAGCACCUGAAGGACCGUGAUGCAGCUCAGACCAAUUCAUUCCUUCUUUUAGUUUUGCUCGGCAAGCUAGAUAUUAUCUUGGACCUCCUCUGUCUGGACAAGAAAUUCUUGAAGAGGUAUGUAUGUUGCCACUUUCUUCUUUUUCUUUUUUCCACAAGUCAGACAGUCAGCAGCUCCACAUCUGUAUUGGCUUAAAUGUUGUAUAUUUUGUAUAUUAUACGGUCUCCAAGUUUCAUCUGCAUUGCUUGGUACCUGCCCCGUACCUGCCCCUGUUUAAGAAUCAGAAACGGAUUUAAUUAGAUAUUUUGACUAGCGGAUUAAAUUAGCGGUUUCGUGUAAAAUUGGUUUGAAUUAGAUAUUUUGACUAGCGGAUUGAA